rnacentral:rRNA from 1 species
AUUGAACGCUAGCGGCAUGCUUUACACAUGCAAGUCGAACGGCAGCGGGGAGGAGCUUGCUUCUCUGCCGGCGAGUGGCGAACGGGUGAGUAAUACAUCGGAACGUGUCGAGAAGAGGGGGAUAACCACCCGAAAGGGUGGCUAAUACCGCAUAAAUUCUGAGGAAGAAAGCUGGGGACCUAGGAAUAGGCCUAGCGCUUUUUGAGCGGCCGAUGUCGGAUUAGCUAGUUGGUGAGGUAAAGGCUCACCAAGGCGAAGAUCUGUAGCGGGUCUGAGAGGAUGAUCCGCCACACUGGGACUGAGACACGGCCCAGACUCCUACGGGAGGCAGCAGUGGGGAAUUUUGGACAAUGGGGGCAACCCUGAUCCAGCCAUGCCGCGUGUAUGAAGAAGGCCUUAGGGUUGUAAAGUACUUUUGUUAGGGAAGAAAAGUCAGCUGUGAAUAAUGGCUGAUACUGACGGUACCUAAAGAAUAAGCACCGGCUAACUACGUG